rnacentral:rRNA from 1 species
UACAGAGGGGGCAAGCGUUUAUUCGGAUUUACUGGGCGUAAAGGGCGCGUAGGCGGCCAUCUAAGUCAGACGUGAAAUCCCCCGGCUUAACCUGGGAACUGCGUCUGAUACUGGACGGCUCGAGUUUGGGAGAGGGAUGCAGAAUUCCAGGUGUAGCGGUGAAAUGCGUAGAUAUCUGGAGGAAUACCGGUGGCGAAGGCGGCAUCCUGGACUAACACUGACGCUGAGGCGCGAAAGCUAGGGGGAGCAAACGGG